ensembl:lncRNA
GGAGACCAGAGGUUAGCUUCACUUUUUAUAUUAAACUCUGUUGUUCGGGAAUUUGAAGGGUGUAGUUAAAUGAAGGUGCUGCUUCUGCUGGGCUCCUCUCCCCUGUCCCCGCCUCCUUCCAGGCAACAGCUCACUGGUGUGUCCGUGUUUAGUUUCCACGAGUGGAGCUUGUUGUUGGUGUGUUUGAAGAAACUGUAGAAAGUGUGUGUGAGCUGAGCAGCAUGGAUCAGUGUGAGGACAGAGAGGAGGGAGCCCCUCCCUCUAAAAGAGCCAGAGAGAGCCAGACCAAAGCUCAGAGGUGACCAUCUCUAACUGUGCAUGACUCUUCUCCAUGUUCAGCACUCACAUCACUGCUCCAUCAUUAUUCACAGGGACCAGCCUGGACCUCCACCCAGCUCUGUGUCCUUACAGAGUGGCCGGUCUAAAGGUCAGGUCAUAAAUUUUAAUGUCCAGCAGGAGUUUGCUGCAGAGAGGUGAGCUGUUAGCAACAUGAACUCUUUGAUGUCAGUUUGGUGUCUGAUUUAAAUGAACUGUUUUUAUUGUGUUUCCUGGUCUCUAAAUUGCAUAUCUGUAGCAGUAUAAGUCUGUACAAGGUAUAAAAUAGGCACUUAAUGACUCUGAUUAGAACAGAUCAUGAAAGAAAUUAACGGUUCCAUGAACAAUAAGAAAAUCAUAGACAGACUAAAGCUUGACAUUGUCUUUGGGACAUUAUUUACAAGUAUAUCAAUGAUGCAAAAUGUAACUUAAAUCCAUUCCCGACUCCUGGCGGCAAAACACGCACUCAUACACAGAAAUGUGUAGGCAGUCCUUAGCUUAAGGUAAACUUUUCACAAAAUGAUAUAUCCAUGUUGCACUACCGGUUUUCACGCAAUGAUGCAGCGCUGACUGAAGCCCGAUCACGCUGUUAAGUGGGCAGCCCCAAGAUGGCGGAUAAUUAGUUGCAGCUGUGCAGCUCGGAUCAGCAACAGGUGUGUGCGGCCAGCCUCAGCGCAGGAACACUCUCAGGGACGCUCGUCAUCACUCGACGGUGAACAAUCCCAUCACGAGAGAGAGAGAGAGGGAGGGAGCAACCAAAACAACAACUUUUUCAGCUAUUUAUUAAUAAGUGGCUUUUAUGUGGAUAUAUGCCUGUAUAUAUGGUGCUAUUCUUAGUUAGUGUAUUGUCUGUCUCUGUUAAUGUUUGUUUAUAAUGCAGCACUGUAACGAAACACAAUUUCCCCC